UGCAGGAUCCUGAUGGCAGAAGUCGGCGCAGCUUGUCCUCCUUUUUUGAGUUUGGGGCCUUACGGCAAAGGAAAAGUACACCAAGGUAGAUCAUAUGUAUCAGGCAAUGUCAAAGAACGACCAAAUCUCAUUGUCAUCGCGGUCUUUUAUAACAUAGUAUACUGUCCAGACAUGUAUAUCGUAAAAUGCGGAAGGUCACUCAUACUCGCUGUUAUUAUACUCGCGUCUUUUUUUCCUAGUCCCGUCGCGUCGCGAGUAUGCCGUGAAAUUAUUUAAGAACAUUUCCUCGAAGGUUGCAUACCGAUAUUCCAGUAACUUACACCUCAUGUAUCCCAGCCAGAAAGUAAAUUGACAAGGUGUUGGAAAGAAUAUCAUGUCAUACGUGCGGAUAGGCGAUAUCUGACUCGUGUGAUCAGAGCAAUCGCCUUCGGGGUUCACGCUGCCAACUUCACGCUCAUUCGUAAUUGCCCACUUUCCGCACUUGCGACAAAAUAUACUACUAUUUAUCUUAUAUGGAACAACCCCUAGAAAGAUUCAACUGAUAGUAAUGCUACACUUGGCAGCCAAGUGUGAGUACAGAGUGAACUAGUGUAUGUUAGAUACUUCGCUUCAUACCUAUAUUCUGUACAUACGGAUGACACAUGUUUAGUUCUCAGUGGUACUAGGGCUGACAUAACAUUUUCUUCUUUUUUUUUUUUGUUUUUCCACGAACUUGCGGGAAUGGCGGCCCCUGUGGAAGAGGGCGCUCUAGGCAGGCACCCGGUUCGCCCGCACCUAGCUACGGCGCUGUCUACACGAUUGCAGUUCAACGGUUCAGGUCGCGAAUAGCCAAUGAUAUUACGUAUCUUUUUUAGCUUGACAUUAAGUGGGAUCGCCCUCCUUCCGUCUUUCCUCGCGCAGUGCAUCUUUGCAGAGCUUUACGCAUGCACGGUUCGCGCACACGUUACAUGUAACAGCUGCUAUCCUCCAAUUUCAAAUCGACCAAGCCAGUAGCGCAGUGAUGUCACGUGUGCCAAAUGCGCAAUUACGACUAGUUUAAUUAGUUGAUUCGUAACCUCGUUGAUGUCAUCGUGGUGGGUAUAUUAAAAAUAUUACAGGAGAUGGCAGCGGAGAAGAGAAAUAAAAGAAAAAAGAGGAAAAUAAUCAUUCAAGUCUUGGGAAACGAGAAAUAUUCUAUUCCUGCAUCUAUGUAUUCACUGUGAAUGUGUGCCUCGAAGUUCGAAUAGCAAAUAGAUAGGAACGCUGGUCUUCUGACCAGCCCCGGGUACCAUCAUCCAUAGCUACGGACGCAGCGCUGCGUGCAAAGAAGUUGGCAAGUACGAGCAAAGCUGACAAUGAGCAAAGAUUCUACCGUCACUGCACUCUGACGUUAAACUAACGUGAAAACGAAAUCAAAGUGACGCAAAAUUAAAACUUUAAAGACAAUGAACAGUAAAAAAUUGUAUGUAUCUUUGAUUAUUAAAGUGUCCGAAAAAGUUCACGACAAUAUGAGUUAAAAAAACGAUAUAACUAAAGGAUCACAAGUUAUAUAUUGUAUUGUGGUUGAAAUACCGAUAUUGUUGGCUUUUUAGUUUGGUUUGUACAUUUUUUCAGGUCAAAGGACGGUUAAUCAGAAAUUUAUCGUUUUCCGGAAAUGUUGUAUAAUCAAUUUGUGCAUGACUGUUUACGUAAAUACAUUCUAUAUAACGAUUCGGUACGCCGUCUUAUCACGGUCUUAACGUAUGUGUGUGGGUCUGAUAUUGAAAUAAAUGGCCUUUAAAAAUCCGUAAGUAUCACGUUGUGCGUGAGGAAUGGUAACCCGGAAGUAUCCAUGGUCACGAAAUACAAAAACUAUUGAGAGUUGCAGGUAUUUCGAACCUUAGAAAUGAUUGGAAAAAAGUAGAAAGAGAUAUUCUGUGUAGUUUCUAUGGUGAAUAUUCGAAAACUUUCAGCAUCGCAGUGCUGGCAUCCGUUGUUACAUGCAUAUAAUGAGGGAAAAAAUGCUCUGGAUCAUCUAGAGAAGAAUAACUGAGACAUGCCAGAGAAAAGGAUGUCGAUUUCCAGAAUUUGUUUUUUGGUUUACUUUUUGCUUACCUUUUUCUUGCGCGGAUGCUGUUCACCUAGAUAAUCAAGGACGAUCCCCUCAUCCAGAGUU